rnacentral:lncRNA from 1 species
UCAAAGUAGAAAAUAAAUAAAGUAUAAAAUCAUGACCAUCUACCAUUCUCCAAAUUCCAAUGAAGAAAAUAUUAAAGUUCUAUCAUGUACCAGAAUUGUACUAUACAGCAGUCUUUAACUACAAAUUCCAACCAUUAAAAAAAAUAAUCUGACCAAGUGCUGGCUUUUAUCUAUAUAUCAAUCAACUCUGGAGAAUUUUUUUCCCCCAACUUUAAUAUCCUGACAACAAUAUACUAUAUCUCGAUUUGGUUGAGUGAUAGCAUGGUUAAGUUUUUAAACCUGGGUUUUUUGAGAUGCCCCAAAGGGUGAAAUGAAAUCGCAGUCAGAGCUUGUUCUCUCCCGAAGGUAUACACUAUCCCGUCUCUUAACAGAGAGUGACCAGAGCGAUCUUCUUGUAGAAUCUGUGCCUAUUUUUCAAGGCCCCAUAGCCAUAGCCAUGGGCAUCGGCAUCGGCAUCGGCAUGGCAAUAUCUCACAUUCUUAGUCCUUCUUCCAUCAACCAAAGCAAUAGAUGAAUCUGAAUCCACAUCUUUGACCAAAAGUCGCCACUCACUCUGCUCUUCAGCAAUGUUUCCCUAAUGGCUACUUUGAUUGACGGAAAAUGAUUUAUGUAAAACGUUUUUUAAUCUUCUUAUUUUUG